AAUAAAUCAAUCUUUUAAUUUUAAUCUAUAACUUUUGACUCUUUGCCUUAUUUAAACUUUUUUACGAUUAAUAUUUUUAUUUUUAUUGGAUGAUAAAUUAUGAAUAGUACUUUACGUGUUACUAAUUUUUUUAAAAAAUUUAAAAAAUUUUAAAUAAAACGAAUGGUCAAACGCUGGACACGGGAACCGAAAAGUUGUCUUAUU
rnacentral:pre_miRNA from 1 species